UUUCAGAUAUAGUCAAGUUGACAACAAAAGGAUGCCAUCACACCUCAGAUAAGCCUACGAGGAAACUUAUACAGAAGCUCAGAGGUGUUGCUGCCUAUAUGCUUGUUUCCAAAGCCCGAGUUGUCCAAGCCAUCAUGGCGUCUGUUGUGCUAAGUUCUGGGGGUCUGCUACAUUCCCACUGGAUUUAUAGGUUAUUUUGACCACAGUGAAACUUCUCCAAUUAUCCCUGAUUGAUUGAUAUAGAAGCAAGACAUUUCUUCUAGUGUCAUACAGAGACAUCCUUGCCUCAUAAAGAAGAGGUCCAAUACUCUGCAUUUCUGAAGAACAGCCUGUCCCUAGAAUCUAACUGGGCUUUCAAAGAGGAAGCCAAGUGUUCAA